rnacentral:rRNA from 1 species
GACGAACGCUGGCGGCGUGCCUAAUACAUGCAAGUCGAACGAAGCUGUUUUAACUGGUGCUUGCACCGACUUAAACAACUGAGUGGCGAACGGGUGAGUAACACGUGGGUAACCUGCCCCAAAGCGGGGGAUAACAUUUGGAAACAGAUGCUAAUACCGCAUAAUCACAGAAACCACAUGGUUUCUGUGUCAAAGAUGGUUUCGGCUAUCACUUUGGGAUGGACCCGCGGCGUAUUAGCUAGUUGGUAAGGUAAUGGCUUACCAAGGCAAUGAUACGUAGCCGAACUGAGAGGUUGAUCGGCCACAUUGGGACUGAGACACGGCCCAAACUCCUACGGGAGGCAGCAGUAGGGAAUCUUCCACAAUGGACGAAAGUCUGAUGGAGCAACGCCGCGUGAGUGGAGAAGGUCUUCGGAUCGUAAAACUCUGUUGUCAGAGAAGAACGUGUGCGAGAGUAACUGCUCGUGCAGUGACGGUAUCUGGCCAGAAAGCCACGGCUAACUACGUGCCAGCCGCCGCGGUAA